GUCCUUAUGCUCGGGCAUUACGUGUAUCAGUGAGGAUUCGUCCGAGAUCAUGUUUUUGCUGGUUGAAAACUUUUUAACCAUUGACUGCUCUUUAUAGACUAAACAGCAUUGUCUGUUUCUGGUCUAUAAAGGAAUUUUUGGAAUUAUUUUAU
rnacentral:snRNA from 1 species